UCGUGGAGUGAUCUGUCUGCUUGAUUGCGAUAACGAACGAGACCUCCGCCGUUAAAUAGUGUAGCGUAUGCUUGCAUAGGCUCUCACUUCAUAGCGGGACAACUCGUGUAAGCGAGGGGAAGUUGGAGGCAAUAACA
rnacentral:rRNA from 1 species